rnacentral:rRNA from 1 species
UCAUUCAUGUAAACCUUGGGUUUUAAGGUUUCCAUAACUGAACAUCUCUGAUUUUGGAAGCUAAGAAGAAAUAGGAGUGAUUAGUACUUGGAUGGGAGACCACUUGGGAAUCAGUAGCAGCUAGAGAGGU